rnacentral:rRNA from 1 species
UACGGAGGGGGCUAGCGUUGUUCGGAAUUACUGGGCGUAAAGCGCACGUAGGCGGCUAUUCAAGUCAGAGGUGAAAGCCCGGGGCUCAACCCCGGAACUGCCUUUGAAACUAGGUAGCUAGAAUCUUGGAGAGGCGAGUGGAAUUCCGAGUGUAGAGGUGAAAUUCGUAGAUAUUCGGAAGAACACCAGUGGCGAAGGCGACUCGCUGGACCAGAUUGACGCUGAGGCGAAGAACGGGAGGGCAAACAGG